rnacentral:rRNA from 1 species
GGCCUAACACAUGCAAGUCGAGCGGGGUCCAUCCGGUAGCAAUACUGGUGAAGACCUAGCGGCGAACGGGUGAGUAACACGUGAGAAACCUGCCCUGAAGUCUGGGAUAACCCGAGGAAACUCGAGCUAAUACCGGAUGCCUUCCACUGAUCGCAUGGUCGGUGGAAGAAAGAUUCAUCGCUUCAGGAGGGUCUCGCGGCCUAUCAGCUAGUUGGCGGGGUAACGGCCCACCAAGGCGUCGACGGGUAGCUGGUCUGAGAGGACGAUCAGCCACACUGGGACUGAGACACGGCCCAGACUCCUACGGGAGGCAGCAGUAGGGAAUCUUGCGCAAUGGGCGAAAGCCUGACGCAGCAACGCCGCGUGCGGGAUGAAGGCCUUCGGGUUGUAAACCGCUUUCAGUGGGGACGAAUUCAGACGGUACCCACAGAAGAAGCCCCGGCCAACUAC